UACGGGGGGGGCAAGCGUUGUUCGGAAUUACUGGGCGUAAAGCGCGUGUAGGCGGCCCAGCAAGUCGGAUGUGAAAGCCCUGGGCUUAACCUAGGAAGUGCAUUCGAAACUGCUGGGCUUGAGUUCUGGAGAGGAAGGCGGAAUUCUCGGUGUAGAGGUGAAAUUCGUAGAUAUCGAGAGGAACACCGGUGGCGAAGGCGGCCUUCUGGACAGUGACUGACGCUGAGACGCGAAAGCGUGGGGAGCAAACAGG
rnacentral:rRNA from 1 species